GAUGAAGAACGUAGCGAAAUGCGAUAAGUAAUGCGAAUUGCAGAAUCCGUGAGUCAUCGAAUCUUUGAACGCACAUUGCACUCUCUGGUAUUCCGGAGAGUAUGCUUGUUUGAGUAUCUGUAAACAUCUCAAAUCUCUCUUCAAUUGCUUCAAUUGGGUCGAGAGAAUUGGAUUUGAGCGAUCCCGACUCCUUCGUCAGAAAGAGGAGGGUCGCUUGAAAUGCAGGUGCAGCUGGACAUUCUUCUGAGCAAAAAGCAUAUCUAUUUAGUCCCGUCAAACGCAUUAUUACUUUUGCUUCAGCUAAUAUAAAGGUUGAAUGAACUACCAACGCUGAUUGCAGGAAAACAUGUUCGUUUAUUCGGACUUGUAAACUCGAUCUCAAAUCAAGUAAGACUACCCGCUGAACUUAAGCAUAUCAAUAAGCGGAGGA
rnacentral:misc_RNA from 1 species